rnacentral:misc_RNA from 1 species
AACGCACGAGACCUGCGGACCUGCGGAAGGAUCAUUACAUGGCGGAGGAGGUGGGCACCUAGUAAAAACAAAACCCUAGGUGUGUUGCCUACCACGCUUUCUACCCUUGUCUAUUUGCACCUUUUGUCGUUCCCUCGGUGGGUCUUGAACCUGCCGGCGGCAACUUUCAAAAACCUUUUGUAGUUAGUAUCUAAUUCUUCUGAUCAAAUAUUCAAUCGUUACAACUUUCAACAAUGGAUC